UUUUUCUUCCCUCCUCCGACCGCCUUGCAAGAGCCGGGACGGUGUCUGCACGACCUGGCCGGGCGCGAUCCCGCAGCGCCCACGGGGUGAUGCAGUGCCCGCUCCCGGAUCCGACCGGCCGGAGGCUGCUGUGAGACAAUGACCGAGGAAAGAGAGAAUUUGCACAAGAGCGGGAGCCGAGGAUAAGCGCCUCUGGUCCAGUGAGACAUUUGAAAAAACCAACGGCACUGGGCCUUUUAUGAUCUUCAGCAAACCGUAGCUUUCUGAACAAGAAAAAAGAACUCAAGAACUUUGAGUCAUGAUUAAAUAUUUUCUAAAUAGAGAAAAGGACUGGAAGAAAUCCCCUCUGGGUGGUCGCCUUGUCCCCAGUCUCAGGCUGUUAACUGUGCCCCAUGCCUUGUGCUUCGGCACUGAAAGGUCAUCCGACCACAUGCUGUGGCAGAAUGGUGUCAGGACACACGGAUCAAACACAGCCCAAGUCCCAACACGAGAGACAUCUGCGCUGAUGAAGACGGACAGACUCGUGCCUCAAAUGUGGCAGAGUGAGGUGCUACUCUUCAUUGGAAAUGAUCAAUAAUAAGAUGCUUUCUGAAA